UGGGGAAUUUUGGACAAUGGGGGCAACCCUGAUCCAGCCAUGCCGCGUGAGUGAAGAAGGCCUUCGGGUUGUAAAGCUCUUUCGGCGGGGAAGAAAACGCAUUCUCUAAUACAGGGUGUGGAUGACGGUACCCGCAUAAGAAGCACCGGCUAACUACGUGCCAGCAGCCGCGGUAAUACGUAGGGUGCGAGCGUUAAUCGGAAUUACUGGGCGUAAAGCGUGCGCAGGCGGUUUUGUAAGACAGGCGUGAAAUCCCCGGGCUCAACCUGGGAAUGGCGCUUGUGACUGCAAGGCUAGAGUACGGCAGAGGGGGGUAGAAUUCCACGUGUAGCAGUGAAAUGCGUAGAGAUGUGGAGGAAUACCGAUGGCGAAGGCAGCCCCCUGGGCCGAUACUGACGC
rnacentral:rRNA from 1 species